UAAGACGAACCGAGCGAACGUUGUUCGGAAUCACUGGGCAUAAAGGGCGCGUAGGCGGGGAUCUAAGUCCGUGGUGAAAUACCUUGGCUCAACCAAGGAACUGCCUCGGAUACUGGGUCUCUCGAGGAAGAUAGGGGCUUGCGGAACGGCUGGUGGAGCGGUGAAAUGCGUUGAUAUCAGUCGGAACUCCGGUGGCGAAGGCGGCAAGCUGGAUCUUUUCUGACGCUGAGGCGCGAAAGCCAGGGGAGCGAACGGGAUUAGAUACCCCGGUAGUCCUGGCCCUAAACGAUGGGUACUGGAUAGUGGACUUUACAUGGGUUCACUGUCGAAGCUAAUGUGCUAAGUACCCCGCCUGGGGAGUAUGGCCGCAAGGCUG
rnacentral:rRNA from 1 species